rnacentral:rRNA from 1 species
GGGUUGUGAGGUUAAGCGACUAAGCGUACACGGUGGAUGCCCUGGCAGUCAGAGGCGAUGAAGGGCGUGCUAAUCUGCGAUAAGCGCCGGUAAGGUGAUAUGAACCGUUAUAACCGGCGAUACCCGAAUGGGGAAACCCAGUGUGAUUCGUCACACUAUCAUUAACUGAAUUCAUAGGUUAAUGAGGCGAACCGGGGGAACUGAAACAUCUAAGUACCCCGA